CCUACGGGUGGCUGCAGUGGGGAAUAUUGGACAAUGGGCGAAAGCCUGAUCCAGCCAUGCCGCGUGUGUGAAGAAGGCCUUCGGGUUGUAAAGCACUUUCAGUGGGGAAGAAAGCCUUGGGGCUAAUACCCUCGAGGAAGGACAUCACCCGCAGAAGAAGCACCGGCUAACUCCGUGCCAGCAGCCGCGGUAAUACGGAGGGUGCGAGCGUUAAUCGGAAUUACUGGGCGUAAAGCGCGCGUAGGCGGUCUGAUAAGCCGGUUGUGAAAGCCCCGGGCUCAACCUGGGAACGGCAUCCGGAACUGUCAGGCUAGAGUGCAGGAGAGGAAGGUAGAAUUCCCGGUGUAGCGGUGAAAUGCGUAGAGAUCGGGAGGAAUACCAGUGGCGAAGGCGGCCUUCUGGACUGACACUGACGCUGAGGUGCGAAAGCGUGGGUAGCAAACAGGAUUAGAUACCCGGGUAGUC
rnacentral:rRNA from 1 species